rnacentral:lncRNA from 1 species
CAACGGCCGCCAGGGCGCGCAAAAAAGACACACAAAAAAGAAAUGGGCGCGCUUCUUUCUUUUCUCUUUCGCCCUUUGGCAGUAGGACCGAUCAUGGCCUGGCCGACGCCUCACAGACCGACCCAUGCACAGAAAGAAAAAAAACACAAAAACACUGACGAUGUGUGCGUCGCAAUGGCGGCAAGAGUGAGGAAAAAAGGAGAGGGUGGCACAAAAAUCAUAGAGACAACGGGGUCGCGUCGUCUCGACGCUCGGCAGCAAUCUCGGCCAGUCGACCACACAAGAUUUCGGGCCGCACGGCCUCGGCAUCGUUGGGUUCCACGCCCCACCAGAGGGCCACAUCCAAGAGGCGAUCGGCACCGGGGAGACGACCCGAGGGCAGGGCGGGCGCGGCACACACGCCCUGCCAAGCGUAGGCGGCUGCGCGGUCGAGCAUCUCGUUGGGGGCCACUCCCGCACGCAGGGGGCCCGUGUAGGCACGCGCUGCCAGGUUGGUCAGCGACGGCGAGGCGUAGCCGAGGGCAGCCCGACGUGCGGCCACCUGCCCCUCAAAGAGGCGUAGGGCCAGCACGAGACGGCACUCGUCGAUCCACACGCCCUUCAUGCCGCCAUAGUACCAGACGUCGUAGGGAUCGGCGUAGGUCUCUUCGGUAAAGCGGCGCACAGGGUCGGGCAGGGCAAAGUCAGACCCCAGCGGCAGCAUGGCGGCCUUGAUUUGCUGUGCGCCCGCCGGCGUCGGAUCGAGCAGCGCCGACGUCAGCGCAAAGUCUGCCGCAUAGGUCUCUCGCUCGUCCUCGUAGGGCUCAUGCUCAUGGGGCGAUGCCACCGCUGCCAGAAACAGCGGCAACGACCGAGUGUAUGGACCGAGCGCCGCCGGAACGUGCAGGGCGCCCUGCGCACGCCGAUCCGCGCGCGGCGUCGGGACAAAAGGCUGGACCGUGGUCGCUGGCAGGGAUGCCGGCACAAGGACACUGGCCACCAGUGUCGCCAUGCGCGCUUGCGGCGCCACGGCAAACAGCGCCAUAUGCAUGCCCUCUUCGGCGUCGUUUUCAAAGACAAAGUAAGAGGUGCCAGAGUCGCAGCCGGGCAGGCGCGCGGAUCCGCCAGGUGCCAGCGCCUGAUCCCACUCGCCACCGGCAAAGGGGUCGAUAAAGCCCUCGAAAGGGCCGGUGCCACCGACGCCGAACACUUCAUGUCGCCGCGCGGCACCUUCCAACGCCAUGACGAGUUCCUGCGCAACUUCGCUCAUCGAAAAGUCAAUGGCGCGCUGGGCGAGCCGGUAGACGUGCGCUCUGGCCGUUUGCGGAUCCAGGGCCUCAUAGGUGCGCACGGCAUCGGCAAAGGUCGGCGGCCAUCUGGCGGCAUGCGCGCGCACGGCAGCGAGGGCCGCGGAGAACCGGCUCUCACCGAGAAUCUCCCACAGUGCGCGGUAGGGUUCAACAAGGGUCUCGCACGUCGGGGUUUGUGCAGGCCUUGCCGGACCCAGCGGAUCCAUCGGGGUGCCCACCGCGUGUGUGCCCGCCAGUCCCCCGCCCGAGGCUCCGAGGGCGAGUCUCAAGGCCUCGUACAGAUCGUCGGCAUCGGCCGACCUGUCUGCGAUGCGUGCGCACAGUGCUUCGAGGUCGGCGAUGGCCGCGUCCGCAUCCCACGGUCCUGUCUCGGCUCCCGUGUCAUCAUCACCAUCACCGCCACCAUCCAACCGAGGCUGUUUGUAGGUGGGCGAUCCGACAAACAUGGGCUCGGAAAAGUCGUCGUCACCAUCAUCGUCGUCGCGCUGCGGCAGCCGGCGCUUCAUUUUUCUUCCUUCAAAAAAUAGACCUGGAUAAUGUUUUUUCCUUUUACUGAGAGUCUGU